GCCAGUGUUGGAUCACAACAUCGGUCCAACACAGGCAAUGGUGGAGGCUGGUUAGGUCAGCGCUACUGGAUACAAGUCUCUGGAUACAAGCUGCUGGAUACAAGGCCUGGAUACAAGUCGCUGGAUACAAGUCGCUGGAUACAAGCUGCUGGAUACAAGGCCUGGAUACAAGUCGCUGGAUACAGGCUGCUGGAUAUAAGACCUGGAUAUAAGACCUGGAUACAAGGCCUGGAUACAAGCUGCUGGAUACAAGGCCUGGAUACAAGUCGCUGGAUACAAGUCGCUGGAUACAAGUCGCUGGAUACAAGUCGCUGGAUAUAAGACCUGGAUACAAGGUCUGGAUACAGUGCCUCACGUGCCGGCUGUUGAAGUUGCGGUCUGCCAACUGAGGUGGUGUUUCUCACUCAACUUGCUGACCAGUGACUCUUCACCUGCUGACCAGUGACUCUUCACGUGCUGACCAGCGACUCUUCACGUGCUGACCAGCGACUCUUCACGUGCUGACCAGUGACUCUUCACUUGCUGACCAGUGACUCUUCACUUGCUGGCCAGUGACUCUUCACCUGCUGACCAGUGAAUCUUCACGUGCUGACCAGUGACUCUUCACGUGCUGACCAGUGACUCUUCACUUGCUGACCAGUGACUCUUCACCUGCUGACCAGUGACUCUUCACCUGCUGACCAGCGACUCUUCACGUGCUGACCAGUGACUCUUCACCUGCUGAUCAGUGACUCUUCACGUGUUGACCAGUGACUCUUCACGUGCUGACCAGUGACUCCUCACUGACUACAAAAACUCAUCUGAAAGAAAUCUUACAUAUCACGUGAUAAACAGUGAGAAACGACACAUUGAUGGCAAGAAACUUGACACAUUGAUGACAAGAAACUUGACACAUUGAUGGCAUGGAACCUAAAAGACCUCUGGAUACCUUAGUUCUAGCUUUGUUAGUCUCAGUUAUGAACAACAUCUCUACUGGGCUGGAGUUGGGGACACCCCUGAACAACACUUCUGCUUGUUUGACCAGCGAUCUCAAUGAUCAUGCCCGUAGCGCUGAAGCAUUCGACGCCUUGGUGUACAUAGUCGUGGUAAUUCUGGUCUACUCUAGCGCUAUGGUGUUGAUGGUCAUCAAAUAUCUGAGGGGGAAAAAAGGAGAAGACCUGAGCUCUUACUUUCACACAAAUUCAAAAAACGGAGCCGUAUUUCAUGUGUAGCCAACGGAAUCUUCUGUGCUGCGUUUUGUAGGCCGAAUCAGCUCUUGGCAGGAUUCACCGUUUUGACUGAAUAUGGUCCAUUCUAGGUAUUUAGGAAGACCAAAAGAUGGCAGAAUGAAUGUUUUUAACAUUGCCCUGUGCAAGUUUAGUGAACAUUGUCACAUGAUUGUCAACAGACACGAAAGGUUGUUUGUUUUGUCCACACCACAUUUCAAAACCAAAAUCUACUUGAAACUGGGUCAGUUACUUUUCAGAAUUUAUAGUCCAAGUUUUAAAAGGAAAACAUUUUUCUGUGGCAAACAAGAAAAGUGGGCACAUUGGCUCGUGCGUCACUGGUAUUUACAUGGUCAAGUUCAAGGCCAAAUUUACAAACCUGAGCUGAUAAAAAUUUAGAAAUAGAAAAUCCCACGUUAAAUUUUAACAUUCGUCUUUUCCCCGGGAACCUAACAACGACCAAAAUCAAGCCAGAAAUUUCUAACCAAGGCCACGACCCUUGAGAGGAAAGCUGAUGCAUUUUAUUUCAAUUGGGUCUGCAAGCAUUACACUGAUUUUGAGACUAAAAAUAGAUCUAGAUCUACUAUAUUUUGCCUACAUUUUUAAAAUGAGAAUUCUUUUUCAAACUAUGUAUAAUGAAUGUAUAUAAAGCUAGAUUGAGGAGUUGUAUGGUUUUUGUAACAAAUUUCACAAUGUGUUUAUUAAUAUUUAAUAUUAAUAUUAGACAUUGAUUUUUAAAAAUGAAAUUAAAUAACCAAUAGAUACUCAAACAAAUAGGAAACAGUGGUGUAGUGGUUUUAGAACCCUCACCCUUUCCACUAGAGUCCUAUAAAGUACAGAUGUAUAAUGGAAAGUUAUUAGAUGUAUAUGUAUUUAAAAAUGACAACACAGCCCCACAUCCCCUAGCUACUGUGAGUCAAACAAUUGAGGGUUCUGAAUACUAGGUAACAAAAUAUCCCUGACAUCAGAGAGUAGCAUCUAUAUGUUACUCUCUGAUGGGUGUAAGAUGUGUAGUCUACUCUCUGAUGGGAGUGUAAGAUGUGUAGGCUACUCUCUGAUGGGAGUGUAUGAUGUGUAGGCUACUCUCUGAUGGGAGUGUAAGAUGUGUAGGCUACUCUCUGAUGGGAGUGUAAGAUGUGUAGGCUACUCUAUGAUGGGAGUGUAAGAUGUGUAGGCUACUCUCUGAUGGGAGUGUAAGAUGUGUAGGCUACUCUCUGAUUGUCAGAUGUUGUGUCUAAUAAAUGUAUGAUACCCAAAAGUGAAAUGCAUUAUUUUUUGCAAACAUAAAAUGAUCACACACCAUAGAAAAAAUAUGCUACAUCUAAAUAUCUUUGCAGUAGUACAUUUGUCAGGCUUGUAGAGAAGAAGAAAAUUUACUUCAUCACCAAACAACUUGGGAAUAGUUUCUUCUAUAAAGAUGUAAUUAUUACACUUAAAUAA